UUUUAGAAUGAUCCUUGCACCACAACUGGAACAGAAAACCUUGGUGGGACAUGUUUGACUUCAUCUGACUGCACUGCCCAAAGUGGAUCAGCCUCCGGGAGUUGUGCCGCGGGAUUUGGUGUGUGUUGUCUUUUCACUUUGAGUGGUGCGUGUGGAUCUUCACAGACUGUCGAUCAGAACUGUACAUACAUUCGG